rnacentral:rRNA from 1 species
AUUGAACGCUGGCGGAAUGCUUUACACAUGCAAGUCGAACGGCAGCACGGACUUCGGUCUGGUGGCGAGUGGCGAACGGGUGAGUAAUGUAUCGGAACGUGCCCAGUCGUGGGGGAUAACGUAGUGAAAAUUACGCUAAUACCGCAUACGAUCUAUGGAUGAAAGCGGGGGAUCGCAAGACCUCGCGCGAUUGGAGCGGCCGAUAUCAGAUUAGGUAGUUGGUGGGGUAAAGGCCCACCAAGCCAACGAUCUGUAGCUGGUCUGAGAGGACGGCCAGCCAAACUGGAACUGAGACACGGUCCAGACUCCUACGGGAGGCAGCAGUGGGGAAUUUUGGACAAUGGGCGAAAGCCUGAUCCAGCCAUUCCGCGUGCAGGAUGAAGGCCCUCGGGUUGUAAACUGCCUUUGUACAGAACGAAAAGGUUUCUACUAAUACUAGGAGCUCAUGACGGUACUGUAAGAAUAAGCACCGGCUAACUACGUGCCAGCCGCCGCAGUAA